UUGCUGUUUAUUGAAUGCUUCAUUGGGG
rnacentral:piRNA from 1 species